rnacentral:rRNA from 1 species
GACGAACGCUGGCGGCGUGCUUAACACAUGCAAGUCGAACGGAAAGGCCCUGCUGGUGUGGGGUGCUCGGGUGGCGAACGGGUGAGUAACACGUGAGUAACCUGCCCUGGGCUUUGGGAUAACUUCAGGAAACUGGGGCUAAUACCGGAUAGGAGCUCCUGCUGCAUGGUGGGGGUUGGAAAGUUUCGGCGGUUGGGGAUGGACUCGCGGCUUAUCAGCUUGUUGGUGGGGUAGUGGCUUACCAAGGCUUUGACGGGUAGCCGGCCUGAGAGGGUGACCGGCCACAUUGGGACUGAGAUACGGCCCAGACUCCUACGGGAGGCAGCAGUGGGGAAUAUUGCACAAUGGGCGGAAGCCUGAUGCAGCAACGCCGCGUGCGGGAUGACGGCCUUCGGGUUGUAAAACGCUUUCGCCUGUGACGAAGCGUGAGUGACGGUAAUGGGUAAAGAAGCACCGGCUAACUACGUG